rnacentral:lncRNA from 10 species
UAUUGCCUAACGGUCCACAAUAAAACAUUCUCACUUUGGUAACUGUAUAAAAAUAGAAGUACAUUACAUAAAAAAGCUCACUAUCCUUGACAGAGAAGAAAGGACUUAGAACCGGAAUUCAACUUUGUGACCAUAAUCUGAAAAGUUAAACCAAAGUUUCAGCAGACACUGCAAGUCCUUGUCCUAAUAUUGAAACUUAAACUGGAGCAGGUGAUUCUGGGGCUACUACUGUUGAUGCUUCACUGCUGUUGAGACUUUUUGGAUUACAAUGGCACCGUUUCAGUCUAAUCAGCCAACUCUGGCCAUGAUAUUGUGGCCCUGAAACUUAACUAUGUCAUAUUUUCAGCUUUACGGACCACCUACAGAUGGACAAUUCUACAUCUUUUAUUGCAAAGAUCACCCUACAAUAGACUGCAAGCCAAGGCCACCAGGGAAACCACAUGAGAAGAGAAGUUGUUCAAUUGUCCUGGGCAAUAGACUACUGGAGAGAUUUGAAGCUAAACUGCCUUAGUUCAAGUCUUAGUUCUGUCACACAGUAACCAGUUGAGCACAGAGUAUUCAUUAUCCUGAGGCCGAGAAUUUCUGGAUGAAUGUGGUUAAAUCACUGGAACAAUAAAGCAAGACAGUUAAGAAAAGCACCUGGCACAAAGGGAGAAUGCUGCAAGAAAGAAAACACAAGCAUUUUAAAGGAACCAUAACAGUUACAAAGAAUCAGGAGACAAUGCAGGAUGGUAUAGGAGGCCAAAGGAAGAAUACAUUUCAAGCUAUUCUACUUCUACUGUUCAUCGGUUGAAAUGGUCAUCAAAAUGUAAUAAGUUGAUCGAAGACUCUCAGAUAUUACUUUAGAAUAUAUUCCUUUUAUGAAAGCUGCAUCUGUAUUUGACUUGGUAAGAUAAUAAAUUCAAGAAAAGCCCAACUGGGACCUCUAACAUACUCUUCUACAAUAUAUGAAUUUUAUACUAAAUAAGACUAUAAUAUUCUCCUCUACAAGUGGAAACCACAUCCCCAUAGGAAAUCGAGAUGCUAAACUAUUAAUAGUUUACCCAGGUUUUCUCUGCCUACCAUGGAACCUUAAACUUCAUCACAGCCUAAGCACUGUAAAACAUUAUAAUUUAUGUUCAUAUAAAUGAAACUCUCUAGACAUUCUUCAUCUUGUCUACUACUUAAUGUUUCUGAUGUUUUUAAGACAGAGAAGUUCUCUGCAUUCAACCUGAGAAAAGACAAUGUCAAAAUAAAUUUAUAUAUCAAAUAAAUACUGUCAGAAGCAUUGCUAUAAGUCUGGUAAUGUUUUAAAAUGUUGUGCCAGUAA